rnacentral:rRNA from 1 species
UACAGAGGGUGCGAGCGUUAAUCGGAAUUACUGGGCGUAAAGCGCACGUAGUCGGCUUUGCAAGUCAGGUGUGAAAUCCCGGGGCUCAACCCCGGAACUGCACUUGAUACUGCAGUGCUCGAGGACUGGAGAGGAGAUCGGAAUUCAUGGUGUAGCAGUGAAAUGCGCAGAUAUCAGGAGGAACACCGAUGGCGAAGGCAGGUCUCUGGGCCACUACUGACGCUGAGAAGCGAAAGCAUGGGGAGCGAACAGG